AAAAUGUAAAGAGGACUCUCAGAAAAUAUGUUAAUCAGCACCAUGAUGAUUGGGACAUCCACCUGCAGGCCAUAGUUUAUGGAAUAAACACUGCAAAACAGAGAUCCACCAAGUACAACCCGUACUUUUUAAUGUACAAUAGGCACCCCCGUCUACCACAGGCAUUAAAUGUCUGUGAGACAGACAGUACCUUUGAAUUGGCGGACCCAGAGGAGGAGCUGGAGCUAAAACUAGCUGGAGUCAAGGCCCUCAAUGAAACGGUACGGAAAAACAUUGAAAAGGCACAGGGGAAACAAAAAAAGGCUUUUGAGGCAAAGAAAAAGGAAAGGGGUUCGCCAGUGCUCAGUUAAGGCAGGGGACGAGGUCCUAAUUGGGGAGCCCAAAAAGAAGGUGAAAAAGGGAAAUUGUUUGCAGGAUCUACACCAAGGGCCAUUCACACUCACAUCCCUGACAGAGAAGGGUGUGGCAAGUGUGGCUAUGUUAGG